rnacentral:rRNA from 1 species
AUUGAACGCUGGCGGCAGGCCUAACACAUGCAAGUCGAGCGGAUGAUGGGAGCUUGCUCCUGGAUUCAGCGGCGGACGGGCGAGUAAUGCCUAGGAAUCUGCCUGGUAGUGGGGGACAACGUUUCGAAAGGAACGCUAAUACCGCAUACGUCCUACGGGAGAAAGCAGGGGACCUUCGGGCCUUGCGCUAUCAGAUGAGCCUAGGUCGGAUUAGCUUGUUGGUGAGGUAAUGGCUCACCAAGGCGACGAUCCGUAACUGGUCUGAGAGGAUGAUCAGUCACACUGGAACUGAGACACGGUCCAGACUCCUACGGGAGGCAGCAGUGGGGAAUAUUGGACAAUGGGCGAAAGCCUGAUCCAGCCAUGCCGCGUGGGUGAAGAAGGUCUUCGGAUUGUAAAGCACUUUAAGUUGGGAGGAAGGGUUGUAGAUUAAUACUCUGCAAUUUUGACGUUACCGACAGAAUAAGCACCGGCUAACUCUGUGCCAGCAGCCGCGGUAACAC